GAACGCCAUUUGCCAAUUCGCUAAAAUUGAUGCGGGCUUUCUCUCGUGGGACUUUCUGGCUACUGACGAGGAGGGUUGCCCCCUUGCGGCCGUGAAUAAAAACUUUUCCAACUUUGCGCAGGAGAUCUUUACCGACGCCAACAAUUACGCCAUCCAUUUUAAUAUUCCGGGAAACUCCAAUCGGUUUUCGACUUUGGACGAACGCUCAAUUCUAUUGGCUGCUGCCAUAUCGAUCGAUACUGACUACUUCACUCGAUCGAGCCGGUUAUUGCCUCUCCCGCUACCUUAUUACGGCGGUGCAGCUGCUGAAAGUGGAGUGGCUGGAGCUGGAGUCGCCAGCGUGGGUCCGAAGCCGCUGCUGCCGCUGCUGCUGGUGGGCUUGGGGCUGCUGCAAUGGGCAGGCGGCAGACGGGGGAUCCUGGUACCUCCUUAGAUGACGUAGAUGGCGGAGAGACCUAUCAAAGAGAAGCAGAGCCUGAUGAAAGCGUCAAUGGAGGAGACGAGGCUUUUGCAGAUGAAAGUUCAUGGUUUGAUGACGUUAUGGACGCCGUUAAAGAUUACACCGAAGACCAAUAAAAUAAAUAAAAAGUCAUGGGGUACGCCG